rnacentral:rRNA from 1 species
CCUACGGGUGGCAGCAGUGAGGAAUAUUGGUCAAUGGGCGCGAGCCUGAACCAGCCAAGUCGCGUGAGGGAUGACGGUCCUACGGAUUGUAAACCUCUUUUGCCGGGGAGCAAGCGUGCGUUCGUGAACGCGCGUCGAGAGUACCCGGAGAAAAAGCAUCGGCUAACUCCGUGCCAGCAGCCGCGGUAAUACGGAGGAUGCAAGCGUUAUCCGGAUUUAUUGGGUUUAAAGGGUGCGUAGGCUGUGAGGUAAGUCAGCGGUGAAAUGCCCCCGCUCAACGGGGUGAAGUGCCAUUGAUACUGCCUUGCUGGAAUGCGGAUGCCGUGGGAGGAAUGUGUGGUGUAGCGGUGAAAUGCAUAGAUAUCACACAGAACACCGAUUGCGAAGGCAUCUCACGAAUCCGCGAUUGACGCUGAUGCACGAAAGCGUGGGUAUCAAACAGGAUUAGAUACCCUAGUAGUC